rnacentral:rRNA from 1 species
AAGAUAAUGACGGUACCCUAUCAGAAAGGACCGGCUAACUUCGUGCCAGCAGCCGCGGUAAUACGAGGGGUCCAAGCGUUGUUCGGAAUUACUGGGCGUAAAGCGGGUGUAGGCGGCGAGGCAAGUCGGAUGUGAAAGCCCAGGGCUCAACCCUGGAAGUGCAUCCGAUACUGCUUGGCUUGAGUACUGGAGAGGGAAGUGGAAUUCCUGGUGUAGCGGUGAAAUGCGUAGAUAUCAGGAGGAACAUCGGUGGCGAAGGCGGCUUCCUGGCCAUGUACUGACGCUCAGACCCGAAAGCGUGGGUAGCAAACAGGAUUAGAUACCCUGGUAGUCCACGCCGUAAACAAUGGACACUUGGUGUCGGAGGUAUUGACCCCUUCGGUGCCGGAGCUAACGCGUUAAGUGUCCCGCCUGGGGAGUACGGUCGCAAGAUUAAAACUCAAAGAAAUUGACGGGGGCCCGCACAAGCGGUGGAGCAUGUGGUUUAAUUCGAUGCAACGCGAAAUACCUUACCUGGGUUUGAAUUGCAGUGGACCACGCCAGAGAUGGCGUUUCUCUUCGGAGUCGCUGUGAAGGUGCUGCAUGGCUGUCGUCAGCUCGUGUCGUGAGAUGUUGGGUUAAGUCCCGCAACGAGCGCAACCCUUACCAUUAGUUGCCAGCAUUGAGUUGGGCACUCUAGUGGGACUGCCGACGUUAAGUCGGAGGAAGGUGGGGAUGACGUCAAGUCCUCAUGGCCCUUAUGUCCAGGGCUACACACGUGCUACAAUGGGGAAUACAAAGGGUUGCCAAGCCGCAAGGUGGAGCUAAUCCCAAAAAAUUCCUCUAAGUUCGGAUUGAGGUCUGCAACUCGACCUCAUGAAGCUGGAAUCGCUAGUA